GGCGGAGUCCCAGUCCGGAAGCUGGUGGACUCCUCUCCGGUUUUCAUUUCUGGUACCCACCCUUUCCCACCUGGUUGCGAUAAAGCCGGUGAGGACCAGCAUUCUUUUUUUUUUUUUUUUUUAAACAAGUGGCCGCACCUGCGGCAUAUGGAAGUUCCCAGGCCAGGGGUCGAGCCACAGCCACUGUAGAAGCAACGCCGAGUAGUUAUGUUGUGAGCCACACGGGAAGUCCAGGACCAGCAUUCUGAUGGGCUAAGCAAGAUAACAGCAAGAGUGAGCCUUGUGGAGUGAUGUUAAUUUAAAUAAUCUAAACAAUUAGACGUCAAUAAGCCAUUGGAAAAAAAAAUUGGCAAAAGAUGGAGACCUCUGCUUUUCCUAGUUUGGUGUCAGAAAAUAUGUCUUUCAGGAGUUCCCGUCCUGGCUCAGUGGUUAACGAAUCCGCUAGGAACCAUGAGCCACAAAGGGAACUCCCAGACCAAUAUUUGCACUGUUACCAGACACAAGACUAACAUGUACUGGUACCUUUGCGUCCUUGCUCAUUAAAGACUUGUACUAAUCAUCCCCCUUACAAAAACUUACACAUAUUCUAUUGAAGAUACAGAAAUCCUAAAGGCCAACACUUGGGGUCCAAGGCCAACUCUUCCUUUCAGUAUGUACUGGUGCAUUUUUUUUGUUUUGGGGUUUUUUUGGUCAUAAUGUUCACUGCCUUGAUGUGGGAACUGAGUUUGCAGACCAGGGAUUGAGCCACAGUGGUCAAAGUCCUGAAUCCUAACCACUAGACCACCAGAGAAUUCCCACUGCAGUUUUGAAACAUGUCCACACAUUCCUUGAAGGCCUGAUAUGGCUUCAUAACCACUCGCUUAGAACCAAGAGACCGAGCAGAAGUAAUGCUGUGUGCUGCUUCCAAAUGCAGCUUCUUCCUGUGUCUUUUGCAGUGCCCUCUCUCAAAAUCUAGCUGUCACGUUGUGAAAAGUCCAAGCCAUGUGGGCAGGCCAUGUGUAGGUGGUCCUUUUCAAGCGAUGGCCCUGUUCAAGUGAUGACUUCAAGUCAUCUAUGCCCAGACAUCAGCCAUGAGACAGAGUGAAGGUGACUCCAGAGGACUGCAGCUGCCAGCUGUUCGAACCACC
ensembl:lncRNA